GCCAAUAAAAAAAAGACAGUUUCUGCAUCUUAAUCAAAGAUAUUGACGGUGGUCUUCGACCUACACAAUCUUUCAAUCACAAGAAAUAUAAUCUUCUUCAUAGACAAUUAUUAUUGCUGAGUAAUAAAUCACCUAAAUGAACUGUGUGCAAUGAAAUAAACGUUGUGCUAUUGGGAGAUAUAUUACGUGACUCAAAAUAAAUAAUAGCGUCAGCUGUUGAUUAAUUCUUUGUCGGUACCAGAGCUUUCCUCAAAAACGUUGAGAUUGAAUACUUGAUAAAACAACAGAUCGAACUGAUAUUGUAGCCCUAUCGCUUUUUGGCCGAGUACAUCAUCUUCGGGCAGUCAAUCCAACCUGUACAGAGGCCACUCUGCCCGGACUACUCACAACAAUCCAGAUCAAAUACCUAUAACAAAACCAGUGCCAAAAAACGAAACGAAACUGACCAAAAACCAUUUAUUACCUGAAAUAUUAUA